GAUGAAGAACGUAGCAAAAUGCGAUAAGUAAUGUGAAUUGCAGAAUUCAGUGAAUCAUCGAAUCUUUGAACGCACAUUGCGCCCGCUGGUAUUCCGGCGGGCAUGCCUGUUCGAGCGUCAUUUCAACCCUCAAGCCCCCGGGUUUGGUGUUGAGGAUCGGCUCUGCCCUUCUGGGCGGUGCCGCCCCCGAAAUACAUUGGCGGUCUCGCUGCAGCCUCCAUUGCGUAGUAGCUAACACCUCGCAACUGGAACGCGGCGCGGCCAUGCCGUAAAACCCCAACUUCUGAAUGUUGACCUCGGAUCAGGUAGGAAUACCCGCUGAACUUAAGCAUAUCAAUAAGCGGAGGA
rnacentral:misc_RNA from 1 species